rnacentral:rRNA from 1 species
AUGCUCCCUACCAUUUUGAGGGAAAAAAAGACUCUACAAUGCCAGUUGUUAAUUUGCUCAGACGUGGUUUCUUGCUUCACCGUGACCAUUUUCAUUAUCUUUUUGGCUGAUUUCCUGUCUAUGAUGGUUACAGCUUAUGGUUGGCAAAUUAGUAAAUUAGAAGUCUCCCGAAUAAAGCAACUUGCUUGUUUUUGGUGGUCAUAUGAUGCACAUCAUUACUUACCACUUACCUCCUUAACAACUGUCUGUGCUGCAUGUACUUUGAAUUAUAAAUACCAUAUCCAUUGCAUCAAACACAAUAGGUGA